rnacentral:rRNA from 1 species
GAUGAACGCUGACAGAAUGCUUAACACAUGCAAGUCAACUGUGGCGGACGGGUGAGUAACGCGUAAAGAACUUGCCACACAGUUAGGGACAACAUUUGGAAACGAAUGCUAAUACCUGAUACUGUGAGAGAGUUUUGCGUCCCAUUAGCUCGUUGGAGAGGUAACGGCUCACCAGGGCGAGGAUGGGUAGCCGGCCGGAGGGGGUGAUAGGCCACAAGGGGACUGGGACACGGCCCUUACGCCUACGGGAGGCAGCAGUGGGGAAUAUUGGACCAUGGACCAAAGUCUGAGGCAGCAAUUCUGGGUGCAAGAUGAAGUUUUCGGAAUGUAAAGGGCUUUCAGUUGGGAAGCGGUACCAACAGAAGAAGUGACGGCUAAAUACGUGCCAGCAGCCGCGGUAAUAC